GCAACUCCCUUUGGUAGCACAUAUAUUAAAAUUGUAACAAUUCAGAGAAGACAAGGAUGGCCCCUGAGCAAGGAUGACACACAAAUUCGUGAAGCAUUCCAAUUUUAA